GGGAUUUUUUUCAAGCCUAUAUGUGUUAAGCUAUGCUAUAAAUUACUGCUGGUGGGUGUGAAAUAUAUAUCCAUGUAUAUUGAUGUGUGUGUAAACACACACACACACACACACACAGUAUGUUACAGUUAAAACCAUGUUGUCGACAGUCACUCAACUCCAGAGAAAUUUACUGUUCUAAAUGCAGACACACACUCAGGAUAAAGACAGGAGGAUUAUAAAUGCUUCGACAAUUACCAGAAUAAAGAAAGCGCCUGAGGAGCAUAAACAUUUGCAGCACAGCCUUGCGGGCUCACACUGGUGGCCGCGGACCUGUUGCAGAUGAGUGUCGGGGAGAUCAAACAUGAUUAAAAAUGCAAAGGUGCUGCACCCCGGCUACAUGCUUUAUUUGACAACAGCUCUGGACUCAAAGGCACCAGUGCAAUCCACUGAUCAAAGUGCUUUUCAGUAAUUCACGUGCCCACUGAGACUCACUACGAAGGACCUCUUAAAGGAGGCAGUUUUUUACAGCCAUUAGCAAUUCCAUUUUGAGACAAUCCUUCAAUAACACCAUUUUUUUUCACAGAGAAUUGACAGCUUGUUUUACCAAGAUGAGACCUAGAAGUUGUUAGCAACCUGCAUAAUACAUUAGCGAUCAGCAUCUGAACAGUGGGCUUGAGAAGAGAAUUCAGACAAAGACAUGUACAGCGGAGAGACCACGUGAAGACAGUGGGGACAGCCAUCUACAAGCCAACGAGAGAGGCUUCAGAAGAAACUGUGAUCUCCUUGACCUUGGACAUCUAGCCUCCAGAAUUGUAAACUCUAAGGAGGCAGGUGGUU